CAAUGCAACGCCAUUCAUUAGAUUGAUUUUAUUUAUGUUUACAACUUCGAAAAAAAACAUGUUUUUUAACGAAAAUGUAUUUCUUCCGAAUCGAAAAAGCAGGGAAAGUUCAAUUAGGCAGUUACGUGGUUGCUAAAUUAGCUUCGAGAGUAAUUUUAAAUAUGUGUAAAAAUUUUGAGAGAAUACUCACUGACAAUGUGGAUCAUGAAUGAGGCGAAGACGACCAUCCAUCCCCAUCCCCCGUCUGGUGGUGGCGCGGGACUUUCAGAGCCUUCUCUCGAAUCUUCUAUCUCAGUGUUUUCAUUCUUAGAAUUCUUUGAAGCGCUCAGAGACAUUUUGGCACACUCCGAAGGCAGUUGUAAUGAUUUUUAAUUAAAUAUAGCCUAUUUUCUAAAUGCGUAA